UUUGGUUUCUCUCGUCUCUCUCAAAUGCUCUCAGCCUCUGAACCCUAAUUGCCUCCUAUCCCUUCUUCAACCUCAAAUCACCGGAAUCCAUGGCUGAUCUAGCCAUAAACGACCUCUACCCACCAUCUACUGCUUCCACACACCUGCUCACUAAUGAUUAGAGUCUAGACCUCGAAGGUCUUCAUCCAGACCUUCGUCGAUGCGAGACUCUUUGGUCGUUUCUGGACUUGCUCAGGCGUCCCUUAGCCUCCUGAGCUUGGAUUCGACUUUAACAACUCAGAUCUGCUCUCGUAACUUCCAAGCCUUUCUCGGCCUUUAGGGUUCUCGAAAACCCUAGCCUAUUUGAGGUUCCUUUUCAUUUUAUUCUUCAUAUCUGUGCUAGAUCUAUGCUGUUUAUGACGUUUUAGAGCUUUUCCCCAAUUUUCAUUUUUCAAAAUUGUUCGAAUCCGAUUUAGGGUUUCUAGAAAUUUUUUCUUUAAAGGUGUUUUGAUUCUUUUUUCCCUCUUACGUAUGUUUAUACUUGUCUGUUUAUUUCUUUAGUUUGUUCUCUCUGAUCUUUGUUCACAUGAUAGCCUAGGGUUGAUUCUCAUUCUUUGCUACAUGUAUUCAAACUCAUGCUUUAAUUUUGGUUAUGAGUUCUGUUGAACUCGUAGUCUCUGAAUUCUUGCUUGUGUAUGUCUGUCUAUCUUCGUGGUUUCAAAUGGCUUCUCAUCUCUGAUUCUAGGACAAACCCUAAAUUUUGGCAUUUUUUUCCUUCGAGUAAAGGGCAUUAGGGUUUCACUCUAAAACCCUAGGUUUACAAGUUCAC
rnacentral:lncRNA from 1 species